rnacentral:snRNA from 1 species
AUCCUUGCGGAAGGGCAUAAUCGUUGCUGCGUGACGCCUAGCGGAUGCGCGAUAAUUGCUAGUUGAAAACUACUCCAAUUCCCGUCUGUCGUCUUACCGACAGCAAUUUUGAGACCCUCAGGGGC